CCUACGGGUGACUGCAGUCGAGAAUCAUUCACAAUGGGGGAAACCCUGAUGGUGCGACGCCGCGUGGGGGAAUGAAGGUCUUCGGAUUGUAAACCCCUUUCAUGUGGGAGCAAAUUAAAAAGAUAGUACCACAGGAGGAAGAGACGGCCAACUCGGUGCCAGCAGCCUCGGUAAUACAGAGGUCUCAAGCGUUGUUCGGAGUCACUGGGCGUAAAGCGUGCGUAGGCUGUUUCGUAAGUCGCGUGUGAAAGGCGCGGGCUCAACCCGCGGACGGCACAGGAUACUGCGAGACUAGAGUGAAGAAGGGGGAAGCGGAAUUCUAGGUGUAGCAGUGAAAUGCGUAGAUAUAGGGAGGAACACUAGUGGCGAAGGCGGGUUCCUGGACAUUAACUGACGCUGAGGCACGAAGGCCAGGGGAGCGAAAGGGAUUAGAUACCCCAGUAGUC
rnacentral:rRNA from 1 species